CGUCCAAAUCCUGAGCAUCAACAGGGAAUCGCGUGUGGUCAUUGUCGAGCAAAGGAGCGAAUUUGGGACAUGGAAAACCAUUUGGAACUUCAACACGGGCUUUAUUGCAACCGAACUGAUGUCCGAAGGAAUUUGCCUCAUUUCCCCAAUGAACAGAAACCUGCUGCCCACCUUUGAGACAUUCCCCACAGUGGUUCAGGGCUUCCAGGGUCUGAAGGGUCAAAUACAACCGACACGUGUGAUCACAUUCGUCCUCGGCCAGAGAGUUGUCCCUGACCUCAGGAUUUAUGGACCUGACAUCUUCAACACCUGCAGAGAGUCCACAACCGUACUGGCUUCUC
rnacentral:lncRNA from 1 species